GGGCGGGAAAUGCUCGAAUGAGAAGUCUGACGGAGCACGCCGCGUGAGUGAUGAAGGCUUUCGGGUCGUAAAACUCUGUUGUUAGGGAAGAACAAGUGCUAGUUGAAUAAGCUGGCACCUUGACGGUACCUAACCAGAAAGCCACGGCUAACUACGUGCCAGCAGCCGCGGUAAUACGUAGGUGGCAAGCGUUAUCCGGAAUUAUUGGGCGUAAAGCGCGCGCAGGUGGUUUCUUAAGUCUGAUGUGAAAGCCCACGGCUCAACCGUGGAGGGUCAUUGGAAACUGGGAGACUUGAGUGCAGAAGAGGAAAGUGGAAUUCCAUGUGUAGCGGUGAAAUGCGUAGAGAUAUGGAGGAACACCAGUGGCGAAGGCGACUUUCUGGUCUGUAACUGACACUGAGGCGCGAAAGCGUGGGGAGCAAACAGGAUUAGAUACCCCGGUAGUCA
rnacentral:rRNA from 2 species